rnacentral:sRNA from 1 species
AAAUAAGCACAGUGGGGAAUGAAGAAAUGAAUGCUUAGCAUGGAAAUGUUCGUCAGUAGACUCUGCAUUUGUGGCGUGGGCUGGGUUUGGGUGGGGUUCUGGAGUAGUCAGAAUGUUGUCUGUCCUGGUCCUUCCAGGGAAACUACUCCCUCAUCUCUCAUCCCUCCUCUGCCUCCACCUCCACCUCCAACUGCCAUAACUGCCUCCUACUACAGCAGCAGCUUCUGGGCAUCUGCCUUUCUGCUCAAGCAGAAGUGCUCGGGGGUGAUACAAGAUUUGAAAAGUCCAGGGGAGCAGUCAGGCCAUGCACACUCUGUUGUCAUCCCCGUCAGGGCUCAGGAUUUAUGGGGCCAGAGCGGUUGUGGCGGGCAUUUUGAUGCUGCAGUGGGUUGUCUGUCGAGCCCCUCAUUCUGGACCUCCCAUGUCCCCCCUGGUCCUGUCAGGUUCCUAGUUGUCACAUUCCUGUGUGAUUGUGAACUCGUUUCCUUUUCUGAGUCUCAUAACAAGAAAAUUUAAGAGUAAACUAUCUAAUCAUCUCCAUCUGAGACCUGAGAAGGAGAAAUGUUGCCUGAGUAAACAGGAAAUUCAGAGCAAAUAGCUUCCAAUUCUAAAGAAAUGACAGAAAUUGUUGGCUACCAGACAGACAAAUUUUUCCAUGUCAUUGUGUCAUCCACCCUCAGUUGAACGGGUCAUAGGCUCUGACAACAAUCCUUUGAAGUAGGUCACUUGAAGGACUAUCCUCUUUUUGUUCUCCAAAGCCUGGGACAAUAGACUUCCCCAUCAUCCACUUCUCCACAGUCUGGACAACUUUCUGGCAGCAGUGGAGUCUGUGAAGAGACACCAUGACCAAGGGAACUUAUAGAAGAAAGAGUAUAUUGUUGCUUACAGUUUCAAGGAUUCUGAGCUAUGGCUAUUAUGCUGAGGUACAUGGCAGCAGGCUGUGAAGAGACACCAUGACCAAGGGAACUUAUAGAAGAAAGAGUAUAUUGUUGCUUACAGUUUCAAGGAUUCUGAGUUAUGACUACAAUGCUGAGGUACAUGGCAGCAGGCUGUGAAGAGACACCAUGACAAAGGGAACUUAUAGAAGAGACAGUUUAUUGGGGCUUACAGUUUCAAGGAUUCUGAGUCUAUGAUUAUCAUGCUGAGGUACAUGGCAGCAGGCUGUGAAGAGACACCAUGACCAAGGGAACUUAUAGAAGAAAGAGUAUAUUGUUCCUUACAGUUUCAAGGAUUCUGAGUUAUGACUAUUAUGCUGAGGUACAUGGCGGCAGGUUUGGACUUACAUUGAGUCCUGAAAUUCAUGGAUAUUUUGGAUUCAACAAACCGUACAUGGUUAUCUGAGAUGGAUUUUUUGUGCUUUGUGGGGUGACCUCCUUGACCUCAACUCUUCCAUUUAUUAUCUUGUUGGAUAAUGAGACAUGGUCAGGAAUGGUGACCUCUUGCCAUAAACUAUGUGAAAAUAGUGAGGUCAAUUUAUGUGUGUCAAGUAUCAGUAGUCUCCUGGGUGGUUUUGGAUCCUGGUUGGACAUAUGCAACUGUUUCAAAAGCCCAGGAUUGAUGUUCCUUGGGAUUCCCAUGAUGAUGCAAUCAGACAUGACAGAAAAGACCAGAAUACACAUGAGAGAAUGUGAUUUGUAUAAUAGAGAGAACAUUAUUAAUGUUCUAACUUAUUAAGUUAGGAUACAGAAUAUCUGAUCACACUGUGAUCUCCAAGAAUGUAUUAUUUAACGAAAAACUAUGGUUUGGUAUAGCAUUGCAAGGGCAUUUACGCAAGAUCUGUUUGUUUCCUGUAAACAUGGACUUUAUUACUGUAUGGUUCACCUACCACACACCUUUAUUGCAAAGGUAAAAAGUGCACUUAGGUCCAGAGCAGAUCGAGGCACGACUUGACAGAAAAUGAAGAUAACUAAGGCAAUGGAAAUUCUUAGAGUUGAAGGAUUAUUAAGAAAGUGUUCAGAGGGAACAAGAAUCCCCUUCUCUGUGAGGUCAGUGAAUUAGGAAGGACAGUUGGGAGCUUUACUUGACGUCAGCAUCUGAGUCUGCAUACGUCAUUGGUAAAAUUAAUGUCUGGAAUUUUGUGUUGUGAAUCUGCACAUUGGCUCUGCAGCGUUUGGCAAGGUCCAUGGAGAGAGAGAUCACACCAGCUGGGAACAAUCUGAAAAGAAAUCAGGUUUUAUUCAGUUACCUGUGAAGUCCUCAAGGACAGAGGAAUGGACGGGUAGCACCUGAAUAGAAAAAUUUAGGAUCUCAAUAGUGCUACUCUAGAUGCCUUCAAGAUAGAUGCAGAAAAAAAAAAACUAAAUAACUUCACAGGAAUUAGAUCAAUUCUGAAC